rnacentral:rRNA from 1 species
UACAGAGGUCUCAAGCGUUGUUCGGAUUCAUUGGGCGUACAGGGCGCGUAGGCUGCGGGGCAAGUCGGGUGUGAAAUCUCAGAGCUCAACUCUGAAACUGCACUCGAUACUGCUUUGCUUGAGGACUGGAGAGGAGAUUGGAAUUCACGGUGUAGCAGUGAAAUGCGUAGAUAUCGUGAGGAAGACCAGUGGCGAAGGCGGAUCUCUGGACAGUUCCUGACGCUGAGGCGCGAAGGCCAGGGGAGCAAACGGG